rnacentral:rRNA from 1 species
UACGAAGGGGGCUAGCGUUGUUCGGAAUUACUGGGCGUAAAGCGCGCGCAGGCGGUUCUUCAAGUCAGUGGUGAAAGCCCGGAGCUCAACUCCGGAACUGCCAUUGAAACUGUAGAACUUGAGGAUGAGAGAGGUGAGUGGAAUUCCCAGUGUAGAGGUGAAAUUCGUAGAUAUUGGGAAAAACACCGGUGGCGAAGGCGGCUCACUGGCUCAUUUCUGACGCUGAGGAGCGAAAGCCAGGGGAGCAAACGGG